GGUACUUCAGCGCAAGAGGGCCUGACUCUCUACAAAUGUGAAUGCAAAGAGGCAAACACGAGGAAUCAUACCCUUUGCUCUUAUUUUUUGAACUCGGACGUUUGGUCCAGGUUGUUGAUCUUGUUCACCUAAUCGGAAAGAUAAAAACGCUCUGACAACACUCAUCCCGUUACUAAAGAAAUACAAUAGGUCCAAGUUCGGCAUUAGCUUUCACAACUGCUCGCUUCACGUAUCUACCAAGGUUCCAAUAUGAGAAUUUGGAGCACAAUAAAACCAUAUUCGAGAGUUAUUGAAAUGGCAGCAAUAAGGAAGGGUUGCAUUGCACCCCAUCACAGCUACCUUUGGCUUGGGUAUCAUCACCAAGGCAGCAACGCUUGUCCCAUACUGGGCACCACCAAGCUUGAGAAUCUGAACUAGAACAUAAAUUGGAGCUUUGUAAGUAAAGCUAACACCGGAAGAGACUGCUGAACUUGAAUCUUUUGCCUCUGUUGAUGCUGUUAAGGCCAGGUGACAGAUGUGAAAACAUGUUAGCUACUUGGGAGAAUUCAGACACUCCAUUCUUGUCCUCAUGGAAGAGUACUAACUAAAGAGGCUUAAAAGGUUGAAUGCGGGUCAAAUCAACGACUGUGGUCAGAACAUGUACGCCAGAAUUUUCCCUUCCUCCUAGAAUCUAGGAGCAGGUCUCCUAUUUUCACAAGAAGCUAGAUACGACGACUCAUCUCUUUUUCCAAUCUCGACUCAGUAACUUAACUUGGGACUUGAGAGUUAAGACCCAAAGACACCAAGACAAAGGCAAAAUAGCGAGCUAAAUAUGACUAUUGGUGGUACAUACCCAAACUCAUGUUUAACACACAUAUAUUUGUACGUUCAAUAGUCAUACAUAUAAACAUAUUACUCUUUAUGAUUCCAUGUUUGGCUUAGGUAUUUAUUAUUUUCUUUUUAUGUUUUAAAGAAUUAUGGGAUUUACUUUGAUUCACACCUGAAAUGGUUUGAACACCUUAAGUGAGCAGUUGAAAUUAGAGCUUUUUAAGUGCCAUACCAUGGGGGUCCUUGUUGAAUGUGUUGCUGAUGUUUGAAGAUAGUGGCAGCAAU